UACAGAGGGGGCAAGCGUUAUUCGGAAUUAUUGGGCGUAAAGGGCGCGUAGGCGGCCCUUCAAGUGGCGGGUGAAAUCCCUCGGCUCAACUCCGGAACUGCCUUUAAGACUGCAUCGCUUGAAUCCAGGAGAGGUGAGUGGAAUUCCGAGUGUAGAGGUGAAAUUCGUAGAUAUUCGGAGGAACACCAGUGGCGAAGGCGGCUCACUGGUCCGGUACUGACGCUGAGGUGCGAAAGCGUGGGGAGCAAACAGG
rnacentral:rRNA from 1 species